ACUAACAAGGAUUCCCUUAGUAACGGCGAGCGAACAGGGAAGAGCUCAAAACCGAAUCCUAUGGUGUGAUGCCAUUAGGAAAUGUGGUGUAUGGGUAUUGGUACUUGUGACAAUUAAAUAUUAUUAAGUCCACAUGAUUGUGGCUUUUAAUCCCAUGGAGGGUGUAAGGCCCGUAUAUAAUAUUUUAAUAUUAAUUGUCACUUGGUGAUACCCUAGAGUCGGGUUGUUUGGUAUUGCAGCCCAAAGUGGUGGUAAACUCCAUCAAAAGCUAAAUACAACACGAGUCCGAUAGCGAACAAGUACCAUGAGGUAAAGUUGAAAAGAACUUUGAAGAGAGAGUUCAAUAGUACGUGAAACCGUUCAGAGGUAAGCGGGUAGAACUGAAAGGGACAUGAUGAUUGAGUCCUACAAAUGAUUAUUGAUAUUAUAAUUAAAAUAUUAAAAGCAGAUCUUUUAUUAUAUUAAGACUGCAAUUAUAUAUGUAUUGUCAUUUGUUGGAUGUUUUUCUCAUGUCAUAGCCACGAUCAAUGAUAUGCAUUGUUUAAUAUUAAUAAUAAAGGUGGCUAAUGAUGUUUUCUAUAUUUUUCCGAAAUAUAGACUCAUUAGUGUUUAUAAUAUAUAAUUUAAAGCAUAUUUAUUGCAUAUUAUUGUCAUUAUAAUAUAUAUUUGGGUGCUAGCAUAUGUAUAUAUGCUCAUAUAUGAUAAUAUAAAAUGACUAUAUUAUGCUUUGACUCUUAAGAGUUAAGUGUAUAUAAUGUUCAUAUUAUUAUUAUCAGUUUAAUUUAUGUAUAGCACCAUUAAAUCUGUGGCCAUUAGUAAGUCCUCUACCCGGCCCGUCUUGAAACACGGACCAAGGAGUCUAACAUGUACGCGAGUCAUUGGGUUAUACGAAACCUAAAGGCGCAUUGAAAGAGAAGGAAUAUAAAUUUUCUAUAUUCUAAGGUAUGAUCUUAAAUCCUAAGGGAUUUUUGAGCAAUACCGGCUUGUCUCAUAAUUUUUAAUUGAGGCAACGCAAGAGCGUACAUGAUGGUACCCGAAAGAUGGUGAACUAUGCUUGCAUAAGAUGAAGACAGAAGAAAUUCUGUUGGAGGUCUAUAGCGGUUUUGACGUGCAAAUCAAUCGUCAAAUGUGAGUAUAGGGGCGAAAGACUAAUCGAACCAUCUAGUAGCUGGUUCCCUCCGAAGUUUCCCUCAGGAUAGCUGGCACUUAUAAUAAUAUAAUAAUACAGUUUUAUCUGGUAAAGCGAAUGAUUAGAAGUAUUGGGGAUGAAAUGUCCUCAACUUAUUCUCAAACUUUAAAUGGGUAAGAUGCCUAACUCGCUUAAUUGGAGUUAUGGCUAUUGAAUGAAAGUGCCUAGUGGGCCAUUUUUGGUAAGCAGAACUGGCGAUGUGGGAUGAACCAAAAGUUGAGGUUAAGGUGCCUAAAUAAACGUUCAUGACAUAUCACAAAAGGUGUUGGUUGAUAUAGACAGCAGGACGGUGGCCAUGGAAGUCGGAAUCCGCUAAGGAGUGUGUAACAACUCACCUGCCGAAUCAACCAGCCCUGAAAAUGGAUGGCGGUAGAACGUUUUACCUAUACCUCACCGUUACUGUAUAAUAAUAAUUUAAUUUUUUAAUGAUAUAAUGUAAACAGUAACGUGUAGGAGGGUGACAUGGUAAGCAUAGAAGCUUCGACUGUAAAGUCGGGUGGAGCUGCCAUGUGUGCAGAUCUUGGUGGUAGUAGCAAGUAUUCAAGUGAGAUUCUUGAAGACUGAAGUGGAGAAGGGUUCC
rnacentral:rRNA from 1 species